ensembl:lncRNA
GUGUGGGUGAAGAAGGUUCUAGUCCCUGAGUGCCAGUGAUCACAUGUAGCCGCGCUGUUUAUACCACAGGCAUAGCCUACUCACGCACAAUAUACACACACUGCCCCAGCCUCCAGCACCAUCCACGGGCAUUGGAUAUAUCAGCCUGGGAGAACACACAGACAUACCCACAGACAGAGGGAGUGUUUUCUUUUACAGUGGAUUCCCAGCUCUCAGACAGAAGCAGAGCUGGAAUGUAGAAUGGUCAAAAACUCCAGGCUGUUAACUUCAUUCCUGGGAGCUCAAGUAAACCAAUGAGUGGAUCGAUUUAAUGGAUUGAAUAAAUUGAUAACUGAAAUCAAUCGACUCCUCAGUGCAACAAAUUAUUGGGGGUACGACCGAUUGAUGGGCGAGUCCACCGUGGCUGACAGUCUGCAUUGAACAGUCCACUGGUAAAAUACUCAGCUGUCGCGCAGAGGAGCAGCGAAGAACAGUCAGUGAAGUCCAGAGACAGUCACUCGGACAAGACCCGUCAGCGGUUGAACUCUGACCGCACAUGAUAAAGACCGUAGAGGGAUACCAGGGCAGGAGAGGGAUAUGUUCGUCUGAUCUGCCGAUGUUCUGCUGAAAAUUAUCACUGAGAGCCAGGUGUGAGAGGUUGUUGCCAUGGGGAAGGACUACUAUAAAACCCUGGGCAUCCCUAA